rnacentral:rRNA from 1 species
UCGAAGCAACGCGAAGAACCUUACCAAAUCUUGACAUCCUUUGACAACUCUAGAGAUAGAGCCUUCCCCUUCGGGGGACAAAGUGACAGGUGGUGCAUGGUUGUCGUCAGCUCGUGUCGUGAGAUGUUGGGUUAAGUCCCGCAACGAGCGCAACCCUUAAGCUUAGUUGCCAUCAUUAAGUUGGGCACUCUAAGUUGACUGCCGGUGACAAACCGGAGGAAGGUGGGGAUGACGUCAAAUCAUCAUGCCCCUUAUGAUUUGGGCUACACACGUGCUACAAUGGACAAUACAAAGGGCAGCGAAACCGCGAGGUCAAGCAAAUCCCAUAAAGUUGUUCUCAGUUCGGAUUGUAGUCUGCAACUCGACUACAUGAAGCUGGAAUCGCUAGUAAUCGUAGAUCAGCAUGCUACGGUGAAUACGUUCCCGGGUCUUGUACACACCGCCCGUCACACCACGAGAGUUUGUAACACCCGAAGCCGGUGGAGUAACCUCUUAGGAGCUAGCCGUCGAAGGUGGGACAAAUGAGUGGGGGUGAAGUCGUAACAAGGUAGCC